rnacentral:rRNA from 1 species
AAGUAGUAAAAUAUUAAAUUAAAACUUAUUUAAUUUGGCGGCAUCUCAUCUUAUCAAAGGAAUUUGUUUUAUAAUCGAUAACCCGCGCUAAAUUUAACUUUUUUUAUAAAUUUAUAUACCGUCAUAAAAACAAAAUUUAUCAAUUUUUUUUAAAAACAUCUAAAAUUUUAGAUAAAGGUGUAAUCCAAAUUUAAGCAAAAAUGAAUUACAAUUAAUAUAAUUUAAGGAAUAUAAUUAUAAAUAAUCAUACAUAAUAAGGAUUUGUUAGUAAUUAUAUAAAAUAUUAUAUAUUGAAUAAGAAAAUAAAUGUGC